CUCUUUGCCUGCUGCCAUCCAUGUAAGGUAUGACUUGGUUCUCCUUGCCUUCUGCCGUAAUUGUGAGGCCUCCUCAGCCACGUGGAACUGCUUAUAGGCAGAAGAGACUUGCCUUGUCUCAGAUGAAACUUUGGACUGUGGGCUUUUGACUUAAUGCUGAAAUUAGGACUCUGCUUACCCUUUGUGAAUAAGCCCAGUGAAUCUGCUGAGUGAUGAGACAGAUAGUGGCCCAGUCACUUCAUUGCUCCAGGAUUUUCUGUUGAAUGACACUGUAUGAGAAAGACUUUGAUUACUGAGUUACAAAGACAAUUGUAUCUUCUUGUAAAGCAUACAGUCUUGGUGGUCCUACCCCAUGAACUGCCUGUCCCAGGACGGUUUUACGGUGGUUAUGUUGAACAUGUAAAUAUUCUCCCUGCUGUGAGUAUUACUGCAGCUGGCCAAAGAUGCUUUAUUUUAAAGAUGUGGAUGCAGGAAGUUAAAAGCAUCAGAAACACUGCAUGGGGUUGUGUAAGUAGAAGCUGGAAGACCCUUGAAAAGAGCAUUCAUUCAAGAAAUGAAGCAUGAAAUAGGAUGGCAGGAGGGAAGAAAGACAAGCACAUGGCAUGUCAGGUCUCUUCCAAUGCUAAAGGCUGCCUGUGAUACUCAUCUGACCUGAUUUCUACUGCACAGUGUUGCAACUGACGAGUAGCAGACUUGCCCUUGCCUGCAUUUGGGGGGAUGGCUGAGAUUUUCCUUAUAGAAAGCCCUACUUCCAGCAU
rnacentral:lncRNA from 1 species